CAUAUGACAUCAUCAGGCUGAACAUUACACAACGAGCAGAAGGACUGACAGCCACUACAUGAUGUACUUAGUGUUCUGGGCCAUUGUUGAAAAUGACAGUUUCAGUGAUGUGUAAUUUGGAGAUCUACUCUGUGUUUUCCUUUAGAAACUAAAUUUAGAUCCUGAAAUUGGGACUCUGGUGAUUCAGCCAUUCUGUGGAACCAGAGAGUGGGCCAGACGCAGCCUUUCUACUGCAGACCAGCCAAGCCUAUGUGUUAGCGGUGGAAGUAACAGAAAGCGUGAAUCUUUUUUCUCUCUCCAAUAUUCAAUGACUAGUCUCUGAGAAUUAUGGGAUGUGUUUCAGCAGAAGAUGAAGGGGUGGGUGUUUCUUUCUGUGAAUUAUAUUGUCUGGGAACUGUUAGAUGAUAUUAUGUGGUAAU